UGAGGUGGACUCUCUUUUAACAUGUUGGCAAGCCCAAAACGACACAGUGUUGGUUUGGUGCCUAAUUUGGGCCAAACGACGUCGUUUUCAUGGGUAGAAGCAUAACUCAAUGUUUCCUCUUCCUUCCAAAACAGAUACAAACGUCUUCCUUCAAAACCUAUCUUUAAUGGCGCUGCUCUGAGUGAGGCUGCUACAGUGUCUUCCUUCAAAACUCGACUGGUCUCCACAGUUGGCUUUUUCGUCGUCAUUUAUGAGAGUGUUUUCAAAAAAGAAUUUCUUUAACAGAGAUACACAAAAGGGAUCUGUCUAGCCAUAGAAGAUGCUCUGUUUGUGGGUUUUAAUGAAUGAAGGCGUCUUUGAUGUCAUCACCCAGGCUUUGCAAAGUCAAGAUAAGAAGUUGGUGUUAAUUGGAACAGAUAUCUUGAUUCUCUUUUUGAAUCAAGUUCUUAAUAUUUUGCGAUCCUAUGUUUUGUAUGUGAAUGAGGUCACAUUUUUCUUAUGACAUGAAUGUAUAAAAUUACUCAUAAGGCAUUUAUUAGACAUAUUAUCCUAUACCGGUUAAAGGAAUGAUAACAAAUUUUAGGGACAACAUGUAUUGCCAGUUUCUUGAGAUCCUUCACAGUCUAUUGGAUUCAUGUACAUUAUCUAGACCAUAGGUACCACCUGGUAAUGAUAUUUUCUUUAAUUUCAAUUGUUUAGCCGUAUUUGAUUGCUAUGGAUAUGAUAAUAAUUGUUAUAUAUGACAUAUUUAUUUUCAAGGUUUUCUUUGGUACCCUUGUUUAUACAGGGUAUUAUUACCUUUUCAAUAAUCAAUAUUUAAGGAUUAUGAAUGUUUUUGGAUAAAUUUUUUGGAUUUUUUUUAAUUUACUUAUAAAUUAAUAGUGAGGUGAACUUUUUUAUUUGAUUAUAAGUUUUAUAGAUAUGAAAAUAUAGUAAUCUGAGUUAAUACAUGAUUGAUUUUUAGCCUUCAGCCACAAAUAACUAAAGUGUAUUGGUACAAGAAAAUUAUUUAUAUUUGUAGUAGGUUGAGGUUUUAAUUUUGUCUUGAGUGUAUCAGAAAUCUUGUGUUGGAUUAACAAUUUAUUUAUUUAUUCAUUAUUCUAACAUGACAUGACUAUUCUUGAUUUUUAAGUUUAAAAUGGAGGGGUUGAGAGAGAAGCUCCAUACAAUUUUUAUAGUAUGGGUGUAUUUAGUUUUAGAUUGUAAUUCUCUCUGCUAAAGUAAAAUUUUGAUCUUCUUAGUUGGUAAUGUAGUUUGUCCAGGGUUGUUGUUGCUAUCAUAUACCAAAAAAAUCACUGUCUAGAACUGAUGUAGUUGAAUUUAUUCUUGUUAGUUCGGAUUCUAAAUUGUGUAUCUUCUAAUUAUUGGAGAUGUCAGUUAGUAGUUUUAUUUUGCAUUUGAAGUCUACUUGUUAAAAAGAUAAGUUUGGACGUUGAGUAGAAUUUAUUAAACAUCCUCUGAAUUGUUGGAAAAAACUUCUCUUUCAUAUAAGAUGGAAGUCCUUUUCUAGGUUAAUAAUAACAUAUGUAUUACUGAACUUGUUUUAUUGAUUGUUUCAGUUUUAUCUAGCAAAAGGACACAGUUAUUAAUAUUUUUUUUAGAAGCAUUUAGGUCAACUGGUUGAAGUUGUUGCAUCCAGAAUGGCAACAGUGACAGCAUCAAUAUUGAGGACGAGAAACGAGACUACACAAUGAUGCGGAGAGGUUAGCGAGCAGUGCGGCGACGAGAUGGAGGCCGGCGAGAGACAACAAUAGAAAAGGUUGAGGCUUUGAGCUCGCGCCGGCCAUAACUAUAUAACUUUGAAGAUGGAUAGGAGAACAUAUGUGAGGUUAGAGAAGAGAAGCAAAAGGGAUGUAAAUAGGGUCUUUAAUUUUGGGGAUUAGGGUUUUUUAAAAUUGAUUCAUGGACUAAAUUACUCAUAAAAUAUUUUCUCGUCCACGUCAUCUAUCCCUUACUUUACCAACGUGUUAAAAGGGAGUCCACCUCAACUUUCUGGUGGAGCCUAGUUAACGACAAAUACUGAUGACUCUGAGUCCCGGAGUACAACUCCAGAAAUACAUAUGAAUAACUAUUAAUUUCAGGGACUACUAUAAAACUCGAGUGUAACUUGAGGAACUA